ensembl:snRNA U6 U6 spliceosomal RNA
GUUUUCUGCUCGCUUCAGCAGUACAUAUACUAAAAUUGGAAUGAUAUGGAGAUUAGCAUGGUCCCUGUGCAAGGAUGACACGGAAAUUCGUGAAGUGGCCCAUAUUUUU